rnacentral:rRNA from 1 species
GCCGCGGUAAUACGUAGGUGGCAAGCGUUAUCCGGAAUUAUUGGGCGUAAAGCGCGCGUAGGCGGUUUUUUAAGUCUGAUGUGAAAGCCCACGGCUCAACCGUGGAGGGUCAUUGGAAACUGGAAAACUUGAGUGCAGAAGAGGAAAGUGGAAUUCCAUGUGUAGCGGUGAAAUGCGCAGAGAUAUGGAGGAACACCAGUGGCGAAGGCGACUUUCUGGUCUGUAACUGACGCUGAUGUGCGAAAGCGUGGGGAUCAAACAGGAU